CUCGGACAUAUCAAUUCGCCUAUGGACAGUGCUUGCAGAAAGCGGUACCUGAGCUAUUUUUUUAGCUGCAGCCUCCCCAAAAUUAACUCUUCCCCAAUAGUAAAGGGCUUCUUAGAUUUAGCAAUCCGACUAGCCACUAUGAGGCUUUUAGCGCAGCCACGUUCACCGAUGUGGU